rnacentral:rRNA from 1 species
UACGUAGGGGGCAAGCGUUAUCCGGAUUUACUGGGUGUAAAGGGAGCGUAGACGGCGGUGCAAGCCAGAUGUGAAAGCCCGGGGCUCAACCCCGGGACUGCAUUUGGAACUGUGCUGCUAGAGUGUCGGAGAGGCAGGCGGAAUUCCUAGUGUAGCGGUGAAAUGCAUAGAUAUCACGCAGAACUCCGAUUGCGAAGGCAGCUUACUAAGCCAUAACUGACACUGAAGCACGAAAGCGUGGGGAUCAAACAGG